CCUACGGGAGGCAGCAGUGAGGAAUAUUGGACAAUGGGCGCAAGCCUGAUCCAGCCAUGCCGCGUGCAGGAAGACGGUCCUAUGGAUUGUAAACUGCUUUUGUACAGGAAGAAACACUCCCUCGUGAGGGAGCUUGACGGUACUGUAAGAAUAAGGAUCGGCUAACUCCGUGCCGGCAGCCGCGGUAAUACGGAGGAUCCAAGCGUUAUCCGGAAUCAUUGGGUUUAAAGGGUCCGUAGGCGGUUUAAUAAGUCAGUGGUGAAAUCUGGUCGCUCAACGAUCAAACGGCCAUUGAUACUGUUAGACUUGAAUUAUUAGGAAGUAACUAGAAUAUGUAGUGUAGCGGUGAAAUGCUUAGAUAUUACAUGGAAUACCAAUUGCGAAGGCAGGUUACUACUAAUGGAUUGACGCUGAUGGACGAAAGCGUGGGGAGCGAACAGGAUUAGAUACCCUGGUAGUCCACGCCGUAAACGAUGGAUACUAGCUGUUCGGAGCAAUCUGAGUGGCUAAGCGAAAGUGAUAAGUAUCCCACCUGGGGAGUACGUUCGCAAGAAUGAAACUUAAAGGAAUUGACGG
rnacentral:rRNA from 1 species